GAUGACUUGUGGGUAGCGGUGAAAUUCCAAUCGAGCCCGGAGAUAGCUGGUUCUCCCCGAAAUAGCUUUAGGGCUAGCCUCAAGGUGAGAGAUACGGAGGUAGAGCACUGAAUGUCCUAGGGGGUAUUGCACCUACCGAAGACUAUCAAACUCCGAAUGCCGUCAUCUUAUACUUGGGAGUCAGACUGUGGGUGAUAAGAUUCAUAGUCGAAAGGGCAACAGCCCAGAUCGUCAGCUAAGGUCCCUAAAUGUAAGUUAAGUGGUAAAGGAUGUGGGAUUGCACAGACAACCAGGAUGUUGGCUUAGAAGCAGCCACUCAUUCAAAGAGUGCGUAAUAGCUCACUGGUCGAGUGAUCCUGCGCCGAAGAUUUCCGGGGCUAAAACUUACUACCGAAGCUACGGCAUCAGUAAUGAUGGGUAGGGGAGCUUCCCAUACGGGUUGAAGCAUGACCGUAAGGACAUGUGGACAGUAUGGGAGUGAGAAUGUUGGCAUGAGUAGCGAGAUGUGGGUGAGAAUCCCACAGGCCGUAAACCCAAGGUUUCCAGGGGAAGGUUCGUCCGCCCUGGGUUAGUCGGGACCUAAGCUGAGGCCGAAAGGCGUAGGUGAUGGACAACAGGUUGAUAUUCCUGUACUACCGAUAACCGUUUGAGAGAAGGGAUGACACAGUAGGAUAAGCUAAGCACACUGUUGGUUAUGUGUGCCCAAGCAUUGAGGCAGUCAAAGUAGGCAAAUCCGCUUUGAUAAUGCUGGGAUGUGAUGGGGAGCGAAAUUUAGUAGCGAA
rnacentral:rRNA from 1 species